CUUCAGUGAUGAGACGAUGACGAGUCGGAAUGGGACACGGUCUGUGUCUCUGGGUUCACUGGGUCAGGGUCACGUUCUGUGUCUCUGGGUUCAGGUCCCCAGAGCAGCGUGUCUCUUCACUUGAAGACAUCGAGGCAUUUGUCUGAGAAGG
rnacentral:snoRNA from 1 species